rnacentral:pre_miRNA from 1 species
CAGCGCAAAGGCAAGGACGAAGUAGAAGAAACCACAGGUCACAGCGCUGUGUCCUGUGGUUCCUUCUACUUCGUCCUUGUCUUUGCGCUC